CUUUUUCUGUCAGAUUUCCCCUUAUAAACCCAAUAGCAAGAUAACUGUGUUGUGCAGUUGAUUGAAUAUACUGUUUUAUCACCGCUGAUUACUGAAGUUCCUCCAGCUUCAAGUCAAGGUUCUUAGCAUCAGCCGAUUAGGUGGAGCUGCAGGGGUCGGCCCUCUAGUUGCUAACAUGUCAUCAGAGGAAGCAGGGUUUCUUUGGUAGAGCAAGCUUGAGGCAGGAGAUUUGAGACCGAAGAGCUUCUAUAUUGUAGAAAAGACCAAGUCUGGUGUCAAGAAGAAGAACAUGCAAAUCUU